rnacentral:lncRNA from 1 species
CUCAGUGACAGGUGUAUUUUCUAAUGGCUUCACCAUACAUAGGAAGAGUCCGGCCCAGCAGGGGAUAUCCUCCCCCUUCACACCUAACCCUAUUAAACCCCAGCUCUGCCCUUAUCUACCCCCGUCUUCUCUACACUGCAUUAAACAUCAGACAUGAUAAUAAUCACAUUAUCAUAAAUGCUAAACAAUUCCUUUCAGGGUAUUGGACAACUUCAAAGUAUGUCAAAUAUAUCUAUUUCAUGUUGUAUUUAUGUUUUUUUUCACCCCAUCAAUACCAGUCAGUCAAAUUGUCCCUUAAAUUGACCCAAACUGACCCUUAAAUUGAGCCAAAUUUACCCUUAAAUUAGCCCAACUUCAACCAGGAAGUGAGUAUUCUCCCCCUGUAGGUGUUGUAACGCAGGUGAUUUGGGCUCUGAGAAGCUGGCAAUGUGGUGGGGUGACAGGCAAGGCUGGCAGGUCUGCCAGGUGGGUAGGAUGGGAGGUGGGGGUGGUGCGGAGUGGUUGGUGCAGGCAGUGGGCAGACUGCACGGAUGAUGUACCUACAGCUAAUGGGGGGAAACUGUGCACGUCAGUGAACCAACCCCCUCCGCGACAAUGCAAAGACAGUGCCAAGACAGAGACAGAGAGAGAGGGAGAAAAAGAGAGAGAGACAGAGACAGAGAGAGAGAGAGAGGGAGAAAAAGAGAAAGAGACAGAGAGAGAGAGAUUUGGAUAAAACAUGUAUUUAUCCUUCAUUUAACCAGUUGAACCUUUAUUUAACUAGGUAAAUUAUUGAGAACAUAUUCUCUUUUCCAAUAACAACCUGACCAUGAUAGGGCAAUAACCAGUAACCAUGCAGCAAAGCAGACAGGUGAAAACAUGCAGACAAGCAGACAUUUCUUAAAAACGAAUAUCAUUAUAACACAAGGGAACCAACUAGCAGCUAGAGAGGGGAGGGUGCAUAACCAGAAAGAGAGAGAGGGGGGGAGGGUGCAUAACCAGACAGAGAGAGAGAGGGGGGGAAGGCUGCAUAACCAGACAGAGAGAGAGCGAGAGUGGGGAGGGUGCAUAACCAGACAGAGAGAGAGAGAGAGAGAGAGAGAGGAGUGUGGAUAACAAGACAGCGAGAGAGAGAGGGGGGAGGGUGGAUAACCAGAGAGAGAGAGGGAGAGGUGCAUAACCAGAGAGAGAGAGAGCGAGAGAGAGGGUGCAUAACCAGACAGAGAGAGAGGGGGGAGGGUGCAUAACCAGACAGAGAGAGAGAGAGGGGGGAAGGGUGCAUAACCAGACAGAGAGAGAGCGAGAGAGGGGAGGGUGCAUAACCAGACAGAGAGAGAGAGAGGAGUGUGGAUAACAAGACAGCGAGAGAGAGAGGGGGAGGGUGGAUAACCAGAGAGAGAGAGGGAGGGGUGCAUAACCAGAGAGAGAGAGGGGGGGGUGCAUACCCAGACAGAGAGAGAGAGAGAGAGAGAGAGAGAGAGAGAGAGAGAGAGAGAGAGGGAAGGGUGGAUAAUGAGACAGAGAGAGAGAGAGGAGAGGGUGGAUAACCAGACGUAGAGAGGAGGGUGGAUAACCAGACGUAGAGAGGAGAGGGUGGAUAACCAGAUGUAGAGAGGAGAGGGUGGAUAACCAGACAUAGAGAGGAGGGUGGAUAACCAGAUGUAGAGAGGAGAGGGUGGAUAACCAGACACAGAGAGGAGAGGGUGGAUAACCAGACGUAGAGAGGAGAGGGUGGAUAACCAGAUGUAGAGAGGAGAGGGUGGAUAACCAGACAUAGAGAGGAGGGUGGAUAACCAGAUGUAGAGAGGAGAGGGUGGAUAACCAGACGUAGAGAGGAGAGGGUGGAUAACCAGACGUAGAGAGGAGAGGGUGGAUAACCAGACAGAGAGAGGAGAGGGUGGAUAACCAGAUGUAGAGAGGAGAGGGUGGAUAACCAGACGUAGAGAGGAGGGUGGAUAACCAGACGUAGAGAGGAGAGGGUGGAUAACCAGAUGUAGAGAGGAGAGGGUGGAUAACCAGACGUAGAGAGGGGAGGGUGGAUAACCAGAGGCAGAGAGGGGAGGGUGGAUAACCAGACGUAGAGCCUGAGAGAGGGAGGAGAGAGGAGAGACAGGCCAAGAGAAAGAAAGUGAGAGAGAGAGAUAGAGAGAGAGAGAGAUAGUGAGAGAGAGAGAGAGAGAGAGAUAGUGAGAUAUAGAAAGAGAGAGAGAGAGAAGAUAGUGAGAUAGAGACAAACAAACAGACAUACAAAGAGAGAUAGAGAGAAAGAAGGAGUGAGAGAGAGCGAUUUAUACAUGAAUGACUGUGUGUGUGGGUCUGUGAAUGAGUCUGCUUGCAGAAAGGCUUAUAUGUGUGCCAACAAGUUCUGAAUUGUUUGUGUGUCUGUGUAAUCUGAAGGAAAUAUGUGUCUCCAGUAUGGUCAUACUGUACUGUGACAGUAGAAGUCUAGUAUGCAAAUAUGUAGACCAUCCAAGCUCUGCAGUAGAAGUCUAGUAUGCAAAUAUGUAGAAAAGCCAAGCUCUGCAAUAGGUGUCACUCAUUCCUUCUUCUGUAACGCCAUGACCUCCCAGUAGGUGGACAGAAAAAGUAUUUAUAUGAGGUCUAUAUCACAUGCUAUGCUCUGGUGUCCUCUAACCUGAGCCUAGUGCUGGUCCAGGAGAUAUCUAACCUGAGCCUAGUGCUGGUCCAGGAGAUAUCCAACCUGAGCCUAGUGCUGGUCUAGGAGAUAUCUAACCUGAGCCUAGUGCUAGUACAGGAUAUAUCUAACCUGAGCUUAGUGCUAGUCUAGGAGAUAUCUAACCUGAGCCUAGUGCUAGUCUAGGAGAUAUCUAACCUGAGCUUAGUGCUAGUCUAGGAGAUAUCUAACCUGAGCCUAGUGCUGGUAUAGGAGAUAUCUAACCUGAGCUUAGUGCUAGUACAUGAGAUAUCUAACCUGAGCCUAGUGCUGGUCUAUGAGAUAUCUAACCUGAGCCUAGUGCUAGUACAUGAGAUAUCCAACCUGAGCCUAGAGCUGGUCCAGGAGAUAUAAAACCUGAGCCUAGUGCUAGUACAUGAGAUAUCUAACCUGAGUCUAGUGCUGGUCCAGGAGAUAUCCAACCUGAGCGUAGUGCUGGUCUAUGAGAUAUUUAACCUGAAUCUAGUGCUGGCCUAUGAGAUAUCUAACAUGAGCCUAGUGCUGGUCUAGGAGAUAUCUAACCUGAGCCUAGUGCUGGUCUAUGAGAUAUCCAACCUGAGCGUAGUGCUGGUCUAUGAGAUAUUUAACCUGAAUCUAGUGCUGGCCUAUGAGAUAUCUAACAUGAGCCUAGUGCUGGUCUAGGAGAUAUCUAACCUGAGCCUAGUGCUAGUCUGGGAGAUAUCUAACCUGAGCCUAGUGCUGGUCUGGGAGAUAUAUAACCUGAAUCUAGUGCUGGUCCAGGAGAUAUCCAACCUGAGCCUAGUGCUAGUCUGGGAGAUAUCUAACCUGAGCCUAGUGCUGGUCUGGGAGAUAUCUAACCUGAAUCUAGUGCUGGUCCAGGAGAUAUCCAACCUGAGUCUAGUGCUAGUCUGGGAGAUAUCUAACCUGAGCCUAGUGCUGGUCUGGGAGAUAUCUAACCUGAGCCUAGUGCUGGUCUGGGAGAUAUCUAACCUGAGCCUAGUGCUGGUCUAUGAGAUAUCUAACCUGAGCCUAGUGCUGGUCUGGGAGAUAUCUAACCUGAAUCUAGUGCUGGUCCAGAAGAUAUCUAACCUGAGCCUAGUGCUGGUCCAGAGACGGUAGAAGUGCAUCUCCAACAUGUUCUGGACCGUUGUCCAAUGCUGCUGGAGUCCUUGGUUUUAAGUGUUCACCCAGUAGACGAAUCAGGGUGUAUUAAAUACGCUUGUCACUCUCCACUGGCAGUACACGGGGGAAUGUAUUUUGACAAACUCAGCUCCACAAUACCUAAGUGUCCCUGGCUGACGCCAAGAGAUAAAUACCCCUAAAUUAGGAAAUGGCUUGAAUUUGGCAAAGUAGGCUUUUAAAACAUAGAUGUAUCCCUAUCCCUAUAGUCUAGCUAAGGUCAACAAACAGAAGUUGAGUGACAAGUCAAAUUGGUUAAUCAAAUUUUGUGUCUAAAGCCAAUGGUUCAAUGUCUGACUACUGUAUAUUAUUCAUCUAGUGACAGAAAAACAGCUAUGAUGGUUGUUUACUGACAAGAAAGACAGAAAGAAAGACAGAAAGACAGAAAAAAGAAAGAAAGACAGAAAGAAAGAAAGAAAGAAAGAAAGAAAGAAAGAAAGAAAGAAAGAAAGAAAGACGGAAAGACAGAAAGAAAAGCAGGAAGAGAGACAGAAAGAAAGACAGAAAAAAGAAAGAAAGACAGAAAGAAAGAAAGAAAGAAAGAAAGAAAGAAAGAAAGAAAGAAAGAAAGAAAGAAAGAAAGAAAGAAAGAAAGAAAGAAAGAAAGAAAGAAAGACAGAAAGAAAGAAAGAAAGAAAGAAAGAAAGAAAGACGGAAAGACAGAAAGAAAAUCAGGAAGAGAGACAGAAAGAAAGACAGAAAGAAAGACAGAAAGAAAGAAAGAAAGAAAGAAAGAAAGAAAGAAAGAAAGAAAGAAAGAAAGAAAGAAAGAAAGAAAGAAAGAAAGAAAGAAAGAAAGAAAGACGGAAAGACAGAAAGAAAAGCAGGAAGAGAGACAGAAAGAAAGACAGAAAGAAAGACAGAAAGAAAAAAGAAAGACAGAAAGGCUGUGUCAGCACCAAAAUAAGACAAUGUUCAGACAGCCCUGACAGUGAAAUAAACAGGUGUGUGUUUGUGAGUGUGAGAGAAGUGCAGAGAGGCUGGGCUAACACUGGGACUAAACUGUGCCAAGGGAAAGAAAGGGAAAAUAAAAAUGUCUCCACAUGCUCUGACAAGUGUUCAGCACUGUCAAGGUACUUGUUACGUCCCUCAAAUCAGUCAUGUGUAUAGAUUGAACCAUGUAAGUCGCUCUGGAUAAAAGCAUCUGCUAAAUGACAAAAAUGUAAAAUGUAAACGCAUGGUCGGCUUGUUAGGCUGUACAGUGUGUGUGUGGGUCUGUGUGUGUGUUUAUGUGUGUGCAUGCGCGAGUGAGUACCUCUGAAAAUGAGUAACAUCCUGGCAUUUAAAGCAUACUUAUUUUUCAAAAUUUCACUUAGAAAAUGGCUACUAUUUAGAAUGCAUGAACUGGUAAUCGGACAUGACGUGUCUGUGCGUGUGUGUGAGUGCAUGCACACACAUUCACCUGAACGUCUCUGCAUUUGACUCGACUACUCAAUCUGCAUGUCUCAUACUGCAUGUUUCAUAUACUACAUGUCUCAUAUACUACAUGUCUCGUAUACUGCAUGUCUCAUAUACUGCAUGUCUCAUAUACUGCAUGUCUCAUAUACUGCAUGUCUCAUAUACUGCAUGUUACACUGGAGAUUAUGCGUUUGGUAGAACAAGGACCAAAUGAGGUCAGAAGACUGAAAAUAGUCCCUCCACUCGGCCAUGGCACCAACUUGCUGUCAGCUGCCAGGAUUUCAGACCACACAGAGAGAGUCCUGCUCCAUGGACCCAUCAGCUUUGACUGAUGCCUCUAAUACAUGAGAGCUGCCAUGACAUACCGUACUGUAGGUGAGUGGUUCAACAUGCCAAAUGGGUACGUCUGGGGGAGUGGGGUUGGUGUGGUGGGUUAUGGGGGGUUGUUUUUGUGUGUGUGUGUGUGUGUGUGUGUGUG